rnacentral:sRNA from 1 species
GCCGGGUGUGGUGGUGCAUGCCUGUAAUCCCAGGGGCUUGGCAGGCUGAGGCAGGAGUAUCACGAGUUUAAAGCCAGCCUCAA